UAAAAUACAAUUAUAUUCACAAAAAAUACAUGUAAAUAUUUGCUUUAAUGAAAAUAGAACAGCUCUUAUGGCAACACUCAAUUUAGCUAAUAUGAAUCAAGAACUGUACAUGUUUUUGCAUUUACUAACUCAUUGCAUGAAAUUCUCCAAAACCCAUGAUUAUGAUGAUGCAAUAUAUACCAUAUUCAGGGAAUAGUGACUAAGUAGGUUAGUAAGUAAUGACUAAGUAAGUAAGGAAGGAAUAUCCUUACCAGGGAUAAGAACCUUGGCUAUGGAUCAUUCUGAGACAUACCACCUUUUCACAAAAUGUCCUUUGAAACCAUGCUCUCAUAAUUUACUCCUGAGUAACAACAACCACAACAGAAAACGGGAUGGUUAUAUAGUCAAGAUAGUCAUGGCUUGCUUCUUUACUUCCCUCAGACCUCUGCUGAAAUACAAGAUACUUAUCAAGAUAAGGCAAGAUACUAAGAUAUAAGUUACUAAGAUGUAAGAUAAGGUGCCCAGGAAGUCCUGGAACUGAGUCCUGGGGCAAGGUUCUGGAAGUUGGGACAAGAAGACAGCCCUGGUAAUUCUACUGGA
rnacentral:lncRNA from 1 species